CAUGUCUUUUUGAAUAUAAUUUAAAGUCUAAUCUGCCCCCUGAGGAUUUAAAUGGCCGCAGUAUUUUGACUGUGCUAAGGUAGCAUAAUCAAUAGUUUCUUAAUUAGAAGCUGGAAUGAAUGAUUGGAUGAGAUAAAAACUGUCUCAAAUUUAAAUAUUAAAAUUUUAUUUUUAAGUAAAAAAGCUUAAAUAAUUUUAAAAGACGAGAAGACCCUAUAGAGUUUAAUAUUAAAAUAUAAAUUUUAUUAUUAUAUUAAUAUUUAAUUUAUAUUUUAAUAUUUUGUUGGGGUGACAGAAAAAUUUAAUUAACUUUUUUUUUAUUGAACCAUAAAUUUAUGAAUAAAUGAUCCAUUUUAUAAUGAUUAUAAGAUUAAAUUACCUUAGGGAUAACAGCGUAAUUUUUUUUAAGAGUUCUAAUCGAAAAAAAAGAUUGCGACCUCGAUGUUGGAUUAAAGUUUAAUUUUGGUGUAGAAGCUAAAAAUUUAAGUCUGUUCGACUUUUAAAACUUUACAUGAUCUGAGU
rnacentral:rRNA from 1 species